AACGAACGCUGGCGGCAGGCUUAACACAUGCAAGUCGAGCGCCCCGCAAGGGGAGCGGCAGACGGGUGAGUAACGCGUGGGAAUCUACCUAUCUCUACGGAAUAACCCAGGGAAACUUGGACUAAUACCGUAUACGCCCUUCGGGGGAAAGAUUUAUCGGAGAUGGAUGAGCCCGCGUUGGAUUAGCUAGUUGGUGGGGUAAUGGCCUACCAAGGCGACGAUCCAUAGCUGGUCUGAGAGGAUGAUCAGCCACACUGGGACUGAGACACGGCCCAGACUCCUACGGGAGGCAGCAGUGGGGAAUAUUGGACAAUGGGCGAAAGCCUGAUCCAGCCAUGCCGCGUGAGUGAUGACGGCCCUAGGGUUGUAAAGCUCUUUCGCAGGUGAAGAUAAUGACGGUAACCUGAGAAGAAGCCCCGGCUAACUUCGUG
rnacentral:rRNA from 1 species